CUACGGGCGGCAGCAGUGGGGAAUAUUGGACAAUGGGCGCAAGCCUGAUCCAGCAAUGCCGCGUGAGUGAAGAUGGCCUUAGGGUUGUAAAACUCUUUCGUUAGGGAAGAUAAUGACUGUACCUAGUAAAGAAGUCCCGGCUAACUCCGUGCCAGCAGCCGCGGUAAUACGGAGGGGACUAGCGUUGUUCGGAAUUACUGGGCGUAAAGAGUUCGUAGGCGGACUGACAAGUUAGAGGUGAAAUCCCAGGGCUCAACCCUGGAACUGCCUUUAAAACUGUCAGUCUAGAGACCGGAAGAGGUUAGGGGAAUACCUAGUGUAGAGGUGAAAUUCGUAGAUAUUAGGUGGAACACCAGUGGCAAAGGCGCCUAACUGGUCCGGUACUGACGCUGAGGAACGAAAGCGUGGGGAGCAAACAGGAUUAGAUACCCGCGUAGUC
rnacentral:rRNA from 1 species